AAACCAACCGGGAUUGCCUCAGUAACGGCGAGUGAAGCGGCAAAAGCUCAAAUUUGAAAUCUGGUACCUUCGGUGCCCGAGUUGUAAUUUGUAGAAGGUAACUUUGGGGCUGGUCCUUGUCUAUGUUCCUUGGAACAGGACGUCAUAGAGGGUGAGAAUCCCGUGUGGCGAGGAUCCCAGUUCUAUGUAAAGUGCUUUCGAAGAGUCGAGUUGUUUGGGAAUGCAGCUCUAAGUGGGUGGUAAAUUCCAUCUAAAGCUAAAUAUUGGCGAGAGACCGAUAGCGAACAAGUACAGUGAUGGAAAGAUGAAAAGAACUUUGAAAAGAGAGUGAAAAAGUACGUGAAAUUGUUGAAAGGGAAGGGCAUUUGAUCAGACAUGGUGUUUUGCGCCCUCUGCUCCUCGUGGGUGGGGGAAUCUCGCAGCUCACUGGGCCAGCAUCAGUUUUGGCGGUAGGAUAAAUCUGCAGGAAUGUAGCUUGCUUCGGCAAGUGUUAUAGCCUGUUGAAAUACUGCCAGCCGGGACUGAGGACUGCGACUUUUAGUCAAGGAUGCUGGCAUAAUGGUUAUAUGCCGC
rnacentral:rRNA from 1 species